rnacentral:rRNA from 1 species
GCCUGUGAAACGAAUCUAAGUUCUCCCUUAAUCAUCCUCCACGGACAUCCACCCAAACCUACAUGUAGUAGAUUAAGAGCAAUUUAAAGGGGGUACAGCUCCUUUAAAAAAGAACACAAUCUCCUCUAGCGGAUAAUUACUGUCAACCUGAACCCUUAAGUCUGUGGGCCUUCAAGCAGCCACCAACAAAGAGUGCGUCAAAGCUCUACACCCAAAGAUCCAAAAACAACAUGACUCCCUCACUCCUAACAGGCUAACCUAUAGUAAUAGGAGAAUCAAUGCUAAAAUAAGUAACUCUGGGAUCUACCCUCUUAAGCGCAAACUUACAUACUCACAUUAUUAACAGACUCCCACUAAUACCGCAACUUCAACAAGACCGAAUAUUAACAACAUCUGUUAAUCCGACCCAGGAGCGCCCAUUAGAAAGAUUAAAAUCUGUAAAAGGAACUAGGCAAACCCAGGGCCCGACUGUUUACCAAAAACAUAGCCUUCAGCUCGUCCAAGUAUUGAAGGUGAUGCCUGCCCAGUGACAUUGUUUAACGGCCGCGGUAUCCUA